CCCUUAGAUGUCCUGGGCCGCACGCGCGUUACACUGAUGCAUUCAACGAGCUUAUAACCUUGGCCGAGAGGCCUGGGCAAUCUUGUUAACGUGCAUCGUGAUAGGGAUAGAUUAUUCAAAUUAUUAAUCUUGAACGAGGAAUUCCUAGUAAACGCAGAUCAUCAAUCUGCAUUGAUUACGUCCCUGCCCUUUGUACACACCGCCCGUCGCACCUACCGAUUGGAUGGUCCGGUGAAGCCUCGGGAUUGUGGUUCUUGCCGCUUUAUUGUGGCGUGACCGCGAGAACUUGUCUAAACCUUAUCAUCUAGAGGAAGGUGAAGUCGUAACA
rnacentral:rRNA from 1 species